GGGGGUAUGGCGGAAUUGGUAG
rnacentral:tRNA from 1 species